AGUGAACGCUGGCGGCAGGCCUAACACAUGCAAGUCGAACGGCAGCACGGCAGUAGCAAUACUGUGGGUGGCGAGUGGCGGACGGGUGAGGAAUACAUCGGGAUCUACCCUGUUGUGGGGGAUAACGUAGGGAAACUUACGCUAAUACCGCAUAAGAACUGAGGUUGAAAGCGGCGGACCGCAAGGCGUCGCGCGAUUGGAUGAACCGAUGUCCGAUUAGCUAGUUGGCGGGGUAAAGGCCCACCAAGGCGACGAUCGGUAGCUGGUCUGAGAGGACGACCAGCCACACUGGAACUGAGACACGGUCCAGACUCCUACGGAGGCAGCAGUGGGGAAUAUUGGACAAUGGGCGCAAGCCUGAUCCAGCCAUGCCGCGU
rnacentral:rRNA from 1 species